UGUGAAAUGUGAUGAAUAAAGCAAAGAGAAAUCAACGAAAGCCGGAUUUUAUUACAGCUGACAAUUGGACGGAAAUUACGAGAACUUGGGAAACUGAGAAGCAUAAGCAAAUAAGUAAACAGAAUAAGAAGAAUCGAGCUUCUAGUUCUAGUGAAGGGUCUGCGUCUGCCACAUAUGCUGGGGGCUCUAUCAACAUCGGGGAGCAUAGAAAAAGAAUGGCAGAUGAAUUGAGGACGAAACCGACAUUUACAGCUACAUUUGAAUGCACAUUUCAGAAAAAAGACAAGACGUGGACUGGCGAUCGAGCAAAAGCUAUUAAGUGGUGGUGAUGGUGGUGAUGGUGUUGCUGCGUCUGAGCCAUCGGUUAACAGUAUGGCAUUAUGGUUGGAGGCAUCGGGUGGGAUGAAAGGAGGAAAAAUAUUUGGGAUGAGAUCCUUGUCAAGGGCAUACACAACGAAGGCUGAUGCAACUUCAUCCUCCAAUGCGGCUGUUUCAAGGAGGACACGACAUGAGGAGCAAAUGACCCAAGAAUUGAGCCAACUAAAAGAUUUACUUGUACAAAAGGACGAAGAACUCAAACAUUUACUUGUACAGAAGGACGAAGAAAUAAGAGGAAUGAAACAACAAAUGCAAUUGAUCUUGCGACACCUCAACCUCGAUCACGAUGAGGUUCCUCCUGUACCUCACAUUAAUCCAAUAGGUGAUGGGCACAAUGAUGAGCCACACAAUGAUAAUGAGAUUGCUGCUGAUGAUGAUGAUGAUUUUAUUAGCAGUCCUUGCUAGUUCAUUCUCUUCGGGGGUAAGCUUAUAAGGACUAACUUACAACAAUUACUUUCUGUGCACAACUUUCUUACAUGUCUGUACAAUGCUUGCGAAAAAUUAAAAAUUUGACAAAAGUCACUGUUCUUUGUUUAGAAAAUCAUGAUAGUUCAACAUUGUAGAAAUACAUGCCUUAUUUGAUUUCAAAUUUUGAUCAUAUUUGCAGAUGCGAGAAGCUAAGUUUCACAUGUUGUACAAUUGAACUGUGAUUCCUUUUAUUGCAUGUUCUCAAGUGGACAUGUUUCGAGUAAAGAUGCUAAUUUUUAAAUGUUUUGAAGAGAAUGAUCUAUCUUUUACAUUUCUGAGUGGCCACACAAAUUGAGAAAUUUGACUUUUGAUAGGUCAUUCUUGUGGAUGAGUUAUAUCCAUUGUCAGUAACAUAAUAUCUCAAAGUAAAACAUGAGAAGCUUUACAUGCUGAAUAAUCAAUUCUUAAAUUUGAUACACUAUCAUUUGAAGUCAGUAUAGAUUAGGGGAGCUUAGAUAGAAGGAAAGGUAUUAUGCAGAGAAAUUUCAUGCGUCUACUUCGGAUGAGAUAGAGAGUUAAAGAAGGAAACGGUACGUGUUUUUUUGUAUCUUGAAGCUUUCAGUUUACUUUAUUUAAUAUCAAUAUUAUUUCUCGUAAUUAUUUUGAUUUUAUAUUGUCUUGGUAACUUAGAAUUUAUAUGUUUUGAAGUGUUCAGUACUUACUUCGCUUGAUUUUAAUUUCUGUAACAUGGAUUUAGUUAGUUUAGAUGGUAGGGCAGUCUUAAGACUCUCAAUGUCUUAAUAGCAUUCCUUUACAUUUAGAUGUUUCCUUCAAUUGCAAAUCUGUGUGGAUGUGGAAAUUCUGUAUGAAGUGUUCCUUUUUAUGGGGACUUACAACAUAGAAGUUCUGGAUUUUAAUUUUUGCAUUGCUGGGACUUACAGCUAUUGGUGAUUUGCAGGGACUUACAGUUAUUGGUCUGGCCACGCAGAAUGCGGAUGCCACCUUACUGGCUGAACAUCUCCAAGAUUGGGAUCUGUGGGAAACCAGCCCCACAAGAUUUCUCUGCAGAUUACGAACACUGGAAACAAGUAAUUUGCUGCUGCACUGAAGGAUCUCCAGAUGUGGGUGCUGAACGUGGUAAAUGUUGACUCACCAGAUACGCUUCCCACGAUUGGUGCGAGUCCUUCAGCACGUACCCUAGAACCUAUGAUCCGCUGCAUGCAGAUCAUC